GGGUUCGAUUCCGGAGAGGGAGCCUGAGAAACGGCUACCANNNNNNNNNANGGCAGCAGGCGCGCAAAUUACCCAAUCCCGACACGGGGAGGUAGUGACAAUAAAUAACAAUACGGGGCUCUUUCGGGUCUCGUAAUUGGAAUGAGUACAAUUUAAAUCCCUUAACGAGGAACAAUUGGAGGGCAAGUCUGGUGCCAGCAGCCGCGGUAAUUCCAGCUCCAAUAGCGUAUAUUAAAGUUGUUGCAGUUAAAAAGCUCGUAGUUGAAUUUCGGGAUUGACACAUCGGUCGUGCCUUAAGGGGUAUGAACUGGUGUAGUCAAUUUCUCACCUUCUGGAGAACCGCGAUGCCCUUAAUUGGGUGUCGCGGGGAACCAGGACCUUUACUUUGAAAAAAUUAGAGUGUUUAAAGCAGGCAUUUUGCUUGAAUACAUUAGCAUGGAAUAAUAAAAUAGGACGGCAUGAUUCUAUUUUGUUGGUUUCUAGGAUCACCGUAAUGAUUAAUAGGGAUAGUUGGGGGCAUUAGUAUUCAAUUGUCAGAGGUGAAAUUCUUGGAUUUAUUGAAGACUAACUACUGCGAAAGCAUUUGCCAAGGAUGUUUUCAUUAAUCAAGAACGAAAGUUAGGGGAUCGAAGACGAUCAGAUACCGUCGUAGUCUUAACCAUAAACUAUGCCGACUAGGAAUCAGACGAUGUUAAUUUUUUAAUGACUCGUUUGGCACCUUACG
rnacentral:rRNA from 1 species